rnacentral:rRNA from 1 species
UACAGAGGUCUCAAGCGUUGUUCGGAUUCAUUGGCGUAAAGGGUGCGUAGGCGGCGCGGUAAGUCGGGUGUGAAAUCUCGGAGCUUAACUCCGAAACUGCAUUCGAUACUGCGUGCUUGAGGACUGGAGAGGAGACUGGAAUUCAUGGUGUAGCAGUGAAAUGCGUAGAGAUCAUGAGGAAGACCAGUGGCGAAGGCGGGUCUCUGGACAGUUCCUGACACUGAGACACGAAGGCCAGGGGAGCAAACGGG